rnacentral:rRNA from 1 species
UACGGAGGGGACUAGCGUUGUUCGGAAUCACUGGGCGUAAAGGGCGCGUAGGCGGCCAUUCAAGUCGGGGGUGAAAGCCCAGGGCUCAACCCUGGAAUUGCCUUCGAUACUGUUUGGCUAGAGACCGGAAGAGGUAAGUGGAACUGCGAGUGUAGAGGUGAAAUUCGUAGAUAUUCGCAAGAACACCAGUGGCGAAGGCGGCUUACUGGUCCGGUUCUGACGCUGAGGCGCGAAAGCGUGGGGAGCAAACAGG